CGGGAGGCAGCAGUAGGGAAUCUUCCGCAAUGGACGAAAGUCUGACGGAGCAACGCCGCGUGAGCGAUGAAGGCCUUCGGGUCGUAAAGCUCUGUUGUCAGGGAAGAACAAGUACCGGAGUAACUGCCGGCACCUUGACGGUACCUGACCAGAAAGCCACGGCUAACUACGUGCCAGCAGCCGCGGUAAUACGUAGGUGGCAAGCGUUGUCCGGAAUUAUUGGGCGUAAAGCGCGCGCAGGCGGUUCCUUAAGUCUGAUGUGAAAGCCCCCGGCUCAACCGGGGAGGGUCAUUGGAAACUGGGGAACUUGAGUGCAGAAGAGGAGAGCGGAAUUCCACGUGUAGCGGUGAAAUGCGUAGAGAUGUGGAGGAACACCAGUGGCGAAGGCGGCUCUCUGGUCUGUAACUGACGCUGAGGCGCGAAAGCGUGGGGAGCGAACAGGAUUAGAUACCCUGGUAGUCCACGCCGUAAACGAUGAGUGCUAAGUGUUAGAGGGUUUCCGCCCUUUAGUGCUGCAGCAAACGCAUUAAGCACUCCGCCUGGGGAGUACGGCCGCAAGGCUGAAACUCAAAGGG
rnacentral:rRNA from 1 species